GGUUCAGAACGUCGUGAGACAGUUUGGUCCCUAUCUACUGUAUACGUUUAAAAUUGAGGGGUUUAUUUUCUAGUACGAGAGGACCGAAAAAUGUAAACCUCUGGUGUAUCGGUUGUUUUUUAAGCAGCGCCGAGUAGCUAAGUUUAUUUUAGAUAAUCGCUGAAAGCAUCUAAGCGAGAAACUAUCCCCAAGACCAGUUUUUUAUUUCGUGGAAGAAGACCACGUUGAUAGGCUUGAUGUGUAACUGUAGUAAUAU
rnacentral:rRNA from 1 species